AAUUCUUGCUAAUACAGUCUAUAUACCGCCAUCUUCAGACAAACCCUAAAAGGAAAAAGUAAGCGUAAUUAUGAUACAUAAAAACGUUAGGUCAAGGUGUAACCUAUGAAAUGGGAAGAAAUGGGCUACAUUCUCUACACCAAGAGAAUCAAGCACGAAAGUUAUCAUGAAACCAAUAACCAAAGGAGGAUUUAGCAGUAAACUAAGAAUAGAGUGCUUAGUUGAAUUAGGCCAUGAAGCAC
rnacentral:rRNA from 1 species